GCAGUCGUGGCCGAGUGGUUAAGGCGAUGGACUAAAAAUCCAUUGAGGUCUCCCCGCACAGGUUUGAAUCCUGUCGACUGCA
rnacentral:tRNA from 2 species